rnacentral:lncRNA from 1 species
AGGGACAUUCUCUAUGGACCAAGCAUUCAAAUAUGUGAGUCUAAAGAGGCCAUUCCUAUUCUAACCAUCACACUGAUCAAAAGCUGAAACAAAAUGAUUUUAUGGAAGAGGCUAGUGAACACUCAAUUAUAAUGUUCCCAUUCAGCUUCCUGGUUCCAAUCCAGAAGCCCACAUAUAUCAGAGACACUGUGUCCUAGUAGCUUCCACAUUUGUGCACUCAAUUUGCAGUAAUAUUGUGGGCUUAUAGUUUAGCAAAUUUUCCCAUAAAAUGUGGAAAGAAAUGAUAUUAUUAACUUGUCACAGAGAAAUUAAGGUUGCCAAGGAUUACAAAGCCCACGUAUAGUUAGUGAGCACCUUGCAGACACACAGGAUGUACUUCUCCAAGAUGGUGCAAUGGAGCAGAAACAGCUCAUGUCCCUAAUAAGAAGCCACGAGGGACCUCAUUGCUUAUUGAAGAGUCUUGCAGCAUACUUUGUUCGUUGGUCUUUUCUUAAUGGUUGGCUAUUUCUCCUCCAAUUCAAGGUAAGCAGAUAACUUGUUAUGAUUACUUAAAUUAAAGAGAAGAGGCCAAAGAGGAGAAAUGGGAGAUGAGGAGAAAGAAGAGUUGGGGGAGAUGGAGGGAUGGAAAGAAAGAAAGAGGAGAAGAAAAGAGGAUAAAGAAAAUGUGGAAUAAGAAGGGGAAGAAGAGGAGGAGAGGGAGGAGAUAGGGGGGUGAAGAAAGUGAGGAAGAGGAGGAGGACAAGGAGGAGGAUAGAAAGAAGGAGGAGGAAGAAGGAAGGAGAGAGGAGGUAGAGAAGGAGAAGGAGUUUGUCCCUUUACCCUCUCCAAGUUGAGAUCCCUACUUUCAGCUGAUCUCUCUAAACACAGUCAUUAGUCAAUUGGUUUUAACAUGGGCAUAAAGAUUGAUAUCUACCAUGGUGACAAAGAAGAAAUCCUUUAAUUCACACAAAUUAUAAGCUGAUGACUUGAUUAAGAAGCCUCAUUGUUUCAACUUUGGGAAAGUGAAGUGUUUUUUGAACUACUAACGUGAAAUGUAAGUCACAGUUGGUGACUCUCAUCUCUCUCUUGCUCUUUUCUUGCUUUCUCCCUUUGUCUUUACCAAUUUAGAACAUUGCAACUAUUAGGUACCAUUCAGAGUCAAUGCGGACCUGAACACACAACUGGCCACGGAGGGAGGCCCUUCAUAAACAGAUCUUGCUGAGUUUAAUCAGAAUCUGCCUCAUGCACAUAGACACAGAUCCUCUUAGAGAUGAAAAGGUUGUCUGUGCAUACUUACAUCAGGGUGUGGCUACACAUUGAAAUUCACUGGUCUUGAGAUCUUUCUGGUCCUAUAGGGUACUGAUGUAUGUAUAUCCUGGUCUAUUAAUCACACAUGCAAAAAGGAAUUUUAGCCUGCAGAGUUGGCAUUUCUUUUUAAGUUUGUUCUUGUUGUUUUUGGUUUUUUAACCAUGAUAAAAAACAUAAUGGAAGAAAUCACUAAGGUAUUAACAUCAACAGUCAAGAUGAUAAUCUGGUAAGUAUGCAAUAACAGCAGUAGCAGAGGAAGAAGGCUGGUGGUCACUCAUAGAACAAAGCAGGCGCCCUCAGGUGCAAGCCCUCUUUGCACUCUCCACAGUCUAUGGGAAGGAGAUGGGAAGGGCCACAAAAUUGAGGAAGAGUUUGAAGCUCACGGCUGCCAGAGUGAAACCUUGGGCUCUGGUAUUAGCUGCCUUGUACAUGGCUGAUUGGAACACAAAGGAAAAUAAUCUUGUAAGUUGUU